rnacentral:rRNA from 1 species
CAGCAGCCGCGGGAAAACGUAGGUGGCAAGCGUUGUCCGGAUUUACUGGGCGUAAAGCGAACGCAGGCGGACUGUUAAGUAGGAAGUGAAAGGUCGGAGCUCAACUCCAACAUUGCUUCCUAUACUGGCAGUCUUGAGUAGCAGAAAGGAAGGGGGAACGACACGUGUAGCGGUGAAAUGCGUUGAUAUGUGUCGGAACACCCAUGGCGAAAGCACCCUUCUGGACGCAAACUGACGCUCAGGUUCGAAAGCCAAGGUAGCGAACAGGAUUAGAUACCCGCGUAGUCCCUGUCUCUUAUAC